GUCAGUGUGGUGUAGUGGUUUGAGCAUUUGACUAUGACUCUGGAGACCAGGGUUCAAACCCAGGUUUAGCCA